rnacentral:rRNA from 1 species
GUCUGGUGCCAGCAGCCGCGGUAAUUCCAGCUCCAAUAGCGUAUAUUAAAGUUGUUGCAGUUAAAAAGCUCGUAGUUGAAUUUCGGGGUUAGUAAGUUGGUCAUGCCUUCGGUAUGUACUGGCUUUACUGAUUCCUCCUUCUUGACGAACCGUGAUGUCAUUAAUUUGGUGUUGCGGGAAAUCAGGACUGUUACUUUGAAAAAAUUAGAGUGUUUAAAGCAGGCUAACGCUUGAAUACAUUAGCAUGGAAUAAUGAAAUAGGACGUUAAUCCUAUUUUGUUGGUUUCUAGGAUCGACGUAAUGAUUAAUAGGGAUAGUUGGGGGCAUUAGUAUUCAAUUGUCAGAGGUGAAAUUCUUGGAUUUAUUGAAGACUAACUACUGCGAAAGCAUUUGCCAAGGAUGUUUUCAUUAAUCAGUGAACGAAAGUUAGGGGAUCGAAGACGAUCAGAUACCGUCGUAGUCUUAACCAUAAACUAUGCCGACUAGGGAUCGGACGCUGUUAUCUUUUUGACGCGUUCGGCGCC